CAUGCUGAAUAUACCAGUUCUCGUUAGGAUCACCGAAGUCAAGCAUAAUUCGGCGCGGUCAGUAUGGGUGACCACCUGGAAACACCGAGCCGUUGGC